rnacentral:rRNA from 1 species
UACGUAGGGUGCAAGCGUUGUCCGGAAUUAUUGGGCGUAAAGAGCUCGUAGGCGGUUUGUUGCGUCGGCUGUGAAAUCCCGCGGCUCAACCGCGGGUCUGCAGUCGAUACGGGCAGGCUAGAGUUCGGUAGGGGAGACUGGAAUUCCUGGUGUAGCGGUGAAAUGCGCAGAUAUCAGGAGGAACACCGAUGGCGAAGGCAGGUCUCUGGGCCGAUACUGACGCUGAGGAGCGAAAGCGUGGGGAGCGAACAGG